UCCCUUCAGAUUCCUUAGAUCUUGCACCUAAAUACUGAUCUAUGUGCCUUGGUAAAGGAGGAAAAGUAAAACUGAAACGGACUUGGAAUUUUUACUUACAAACAAGUUCAUUUCAAACAUAA
rnacentral:snoRNA from 1 species